GUCGUCCCAGCCGCUUGUAGGAGAAUGAGGAGAGGUUGCGCCGCGGCCUGUGCCCAGUUAAAGAAAGAGAAGUUGUUGUCGUCCCAGCCGCUUUAGUUGAUGUCGUCCCGGCUCGUUGUAGGAGGAGGCGUUGCGCCGCGGCCUGUGCCCUGGU